UGGGGAAUAUUGGACAAUGGGGGGAACCCUGAUCCAGCCAUGCCGCGUGUGUGAAGAAGGCCUUAUGGUUGUAAAGCACUUUAAGCGAGGAGGAGGGUACUGGUAUUAAUACUACCAGGUACUGGACGUUACUCGCAGAAUAAGCACCGGCUAACUCUGUGCCAGCAGCCGCGGUAAUACAGAGGGUGCGAGCGUUAAUCGGAUUUACUGGGCGUAAAGCGUGCGUAGGCGGCUAAUUGAGUCGGAUGUGAAAUCCCCGAGCUUAACUGGGGAAUUGCAUUCGAUACUGGUUAGCUAGAGUGUGGGAGAGGAUGGUAGAAUUCCAGGUGUAGCGGUGAAAUGCGUAGAGAUCUGGAGGAAUACCGAUGGCGAAGGCAGCCAUCUGGCCUAACACUGACGCUGAGGUACGAAAGCAUGGGGAGCAAACAGG
rnacentral:rRNA from 1 species